UGAGCUAGGAGGCUGACGUGAUAUAAGUAAAAUACAAUGUGAGAUAUCAACUUAUACAUAAGACAUAAGAGCCUAUAAGACCAAAUAUUCACUCGUAUACUGAACAUAGGCCGACAAGGCCAUACAAUCUUUUACAUACAUGACAUAUGUCUACAAGCCUCUAAGAAUACAUAAUUUUCAUAAAGGUCGGGACAGAGUCCCGCCAUAAAACAAUAUACGUCUAAAUCAUACUAACCAAACGAGCAACUCCGAAGCAAAUGGAGCACACAAACAUCUUACACUGAGCUGAUAGCCUACUUGGAGGGUUCUCAAUCUGUCUAUCGGGACCUACGAGCAUGAAACACAGCAUCCCCAGGCAACAACGACGUCAGUACGAAUAAUGUACCGAGUAUGUAAGGCACAUAAAUAAGUACAUAAAAGACAUGGAAGAAAUAUAGAGUAAAUGACUCAACUUGUAAGUUUAGAUAACUCUGUAAAUCAUGAAAUACUUAUAGUGUCAUGCAUAUGCAUAUGAAUGUCAUGUUGUGUAUAGGUACAUGUGUUCAUAACAUCAUCAAGCCCCUGAGGGCAUCCCAUCAUAUCAUCUCGGCCACUGUGGGCAAUAUCAUCAACGUAUACCAGCUGAUCAGGUGGUGGUGCGUAUAUAAUGUCGUAACCUUUUUCCCGUAUCCCAUAUAAAUAUAAUAUACAUAUAUAUGCUUAUAUAACGUCAUCUGGCAUGUGUAAAUGCACAUGUAUAAAUGCAUGAAAUGCAUGAAGAUAUAUUAAUAUCUCAAUAAUCCUUUCGGAUAAACUUUAUCAACUGCGUAUUAUUUGAGAUCCAUGAACAGAAGAUAUAAUAAUAUGUCACAUGGGGGAUCAAGAACAUAGAGACCCCUAGUAUUUCUAUGAAUAGAGUUGUUUAUGAAAACUGAGUGUUUGCUUGUUUCUUCUGUAUAACUUGGAUCAUGCCAAAAAGAAAAAAUGGAUAGUCUUAACAUACCUGGACUCUCAUUUUGGCAAAGAUGAAGAAACUUUGUUAUGAGAGCAACAAUGAAGUAAGGGAGAAAGCCAGAGGAGAACUUCAUAAACCCCUUAAACUUCCUGAGAAUGAAAUUAUUAAAGAUAAGAACUUCUUUGGAGUAAACAGAGUUGGAUAUAUUGAGAUUUUUUCAAUUCUGAUAACUUAUUGGCUUGGAAUUAUUCAAGAAGCAAUGAAAGUGGGCAUAUUUACG
rnacentral:lncRNA from 1 species